rnacentral:rRNA from 1 species
ACGUAGGCGGCAAGCGUUGUCCGGAAUUAUUGGGCGUAAAGGGAGCGCAGGCGGGAAACUAAGCGGAUCUUAAAAGUGCGGGGCUCAACCCCGUGAUGGGGUCCGAACUGGUUUUCUUGAGUGCAGGAGAGGAAAGCGGAAUUCCCAGUGUAGCGGUGAAAUGCGUAGAUAUUGGGAAGAACACCAGUGGCGAAGGCGGCUUUCUCGACUGUAACUGACGCUGAGGCUCGAAAGCUAGGGUAGCGAACGG